rnacentral:rRNA from 1 species
UACGUACGAGGCGAGCGUUUAUCCGGAAUUACUGGGCGUAAAGCGCGCGCAGGUGGCCAAUUAAGUCCGCUGUGAAAUCUCCCGGCCCAACUGGGAGGGGCCAGUGGAUACUGGAUGGCUUGAGGGCAGCAGAGGUCGGUGGAAUUCCUGGUGUAGUGGUGAAAUGCGUAGAGAUCAGGAGGAACACCGGUGGCGAAGGCGGCCGACUGGGCUGCCACUGACGCUGAGGCGCGAAAGCUAGGGUAGCAAACGGG